rnacentral:rRNA from 1 species
AACGGAGGGGGUAAGUGUUACUCAUCAAAACUGGGCGUAAAGGGCGCGUAGGCGGCAUGACAAGUCACUUGUGAAAUCUCCGGGCUUAACUCGGAACGGUCAAGUGAUACUGUCGCGCUAGAGUGCGGAAGGGGCAAUCAGAAUUCUUGGUGUAGCGGUGAAAUGCGUAGAUAUCAAGAGGAAUACCUGAGGUGAAGACGGGUUGCUAGGCCGACACUGACGCUGAAGCGCGAAAGCGUGGGGAGCAAACGGG